AGUUUGAUCCUGGCUCAGAUUGAACGCUGGCGGAAUGCUUUACACAUGCAAGUCGAACGGCAGCAUAGAGAGCUUGCUCUCUGAUGGCGAGUGGCGAACGGGUGAGUAAUAUAUCGGAACGUGCCUAGUAAUGGGGAAUAACUAGCUGAAAGGUUAGCUAAUGCCGCAUACGACCUACGGGUGAAAGCAGGGGAUCUUCGGACCUUGCGUUAUUAGAGCGGCCGAUAUCUGAUUAGCUUGUUGGUGGGGUAAUGGCCUACCAAGGCGACGAUCAGUAGCUGGUCUGAGAGGACGAUCAGCCACACUGGAACUGAGACACGGUCCAGACUCCUACGGGAGGCAGCAGUGGGGAAUUUUGGACAAUGGGGGCAACCCUGAUCCAGCCAUUCCGCGUGAGUGAAGAAGGCCUUCGGGUUGUAAAGCUCUUUCGCAAGAGAAGAAAACUUGCUAUCUAAUAAAUAGUAAGCAUGACGGUAUCUUGACAAGAAGCACCGGCUAACUACGUGCCAGCAGCCGCGGUAAUACGUAGGGUGCAAGCGUUAAUCGGAAUUACUGGGCGUAAAGCGUGCGCAGGCAGUUUUAUAAGUCAGAUGUGAAAUCCCCGAGCUCAACUUGGGAACUGCGUUUGAAACUGUAAGACUAGAGUGUGUCAGAGGGGGGUAGAAUUCCAAGUGUAGCAGUGAAAUGCGUAGAGAUUUGGAGGAAUACCAAUGGCGAAGGCAGCCCCCUGGGAUAACACUGACGCUCAUGCACGAAAGCGUGGGGAGCAAACAGAUUAGAUACCCUGGUAGUCCACGCCCUAAACGAUGUCUACUAGUUGUUGGUGGAGUAAAAUCCAUGAGUAACGCAGCUAACGCGUGAAGUAGACCGCCUGGGGAGUACGGUCGCAAGAUUAAAACUCAAAUGAAUUGACGGGGGCCCGCACAA
rnacentral:rRNA from 1 species